AUUGAACGCUGGCGGCAUGCUUUACACAUGCAAGUCGAACGGUAACAGGCCGCAAGGUGCUGGCGAGUGGCGAACGGGUGAGUAAUGCGUCGGAACGUGCCCAGUCGUGGGGGAUAACGCAGCGAAAGCUGCGCUAAUACCGCAUACGAUCUCUGGAUGAAAGCGGGGGACCGAAAGGCCUCGCGCGAUUGGAGCGGCCGAUGUCAGAUUAGGUAGUUGGUGGGGUAAAGGCCCACCAAGCCAACGAUCUGUAGCUGGUCUGAGAGGACGACCAGCCACACUGGGACUGAGACACGGCCCAGACUCCUACGGGAGGCAGCAGUGGGGAAUUUUGGACAAUGGGCGCAAGCCUGAUCCAGCAAUGCCGCGUGCAGGAAGAAGGCCUUCGGGUUGUAAACUGCUUUUGUACGGAACGAAACGGUCCGGGUUAAUACCCUGGGCUAAUGACGGUACCGUAAGAAUAAGCACCGGCUAACUACGUGCCAGCCGCCGCGGUAAGAC
rnacentral:rRNA from 1 species